ACUCCUACGGGAGGCAGCAGUGGGGAAUAUUGCACAAUGGGCGCAAGCCUGAUGCAGCCAUGCCGCGUGUAUGAAGAAGGCCUUCGGGUUGUAAAGUACUUUCAGCAGUGAGGAAGGUGGGGUAUGUUAAUAGCAUACUCAUUUGUACGUUAGCUGCAGAAGAAGCACCGGCUAACUCCGUGCCAGCAGCCGCGGUAAUACGGAGGGUGCGAGCGUUAAUCGGAAUUACUGGGCGUAAAGCGCAUGCAGGUGGUUUGUUAAGUCAGAUGUGAAAGCCCGGGGCUCAACCUCGGAAUUGCAUUUGAAACUGGCAAACUAGAGUACUGUAGAGGGGGUUAGAAUUUCAGGUGUAGCGGUGAAAUGCGUAGAGAUCUGAAGGAUACCGGUGGCGAAGGCGGCCCCUGGACAGAUACUGACACUCAGAUGCGAAAGCGUGGGAGCAAACAGGAUUAGAUACCCCGUGGUAGCGACUGA
rnacentral:rRNA from 1 species